rnacentral:lncRNA from 1 species
UCAUAGUGGAAGCCCUCCAAGUACUCCUACACCUACACCUAGUACCCCCAGUACACCAUCCACCCCCUCCACACCUACUAUUGUCACCCCGCCUACACCUCCUACCAUUGACCCUGGCACUCCAAGCACUCCAGGGGGUGGUUACUAUGGUGGAAGUCCUCCAAGUAUUCCUACACCUAGUACCCCUAGUAUUACACCCACUACCCCUUCUACACCUAUCAUUGAAACACCACCAACUACUCCUGUCGUUGAAACACCACCAACUACUCCUACUAUUGAUCCAGGCACUCCAAGUGCUCCAGGAGUCUUUCCA